CGCGCAGGAGCGGCUUCCAGUGGGCCGGGAGUCGCUCAAAGAGCCACGCCGCGUGGACCGACAGCGGGUAUUCGUCGUCGUCAUCAUCUCCUGCAGCAGACGACGGCACCGAGGACGCCGACAAUGUCCCGUUGGUGCGCGCCUUUUUAGAUGCUAGGGUGACGGUCGACGACAUCGAGGCCGAGGCGGCCGCGGUUGGCGUCGGACGCUUGCGCGUCACGAUAAACUUGUCCAUCGGGCCGACGGGCGACAAUGACGCAAGGCUGCGCGGUCUCUCUGCUGAAAAGUGUGGUUUCCUUGUCCUCCUUGUUUUUUUCGUGCCUUGUCGGCGGGUUGCCUUUUUUUUCCGUCUCGCUGUCGGUUCUGU
rnacentral:lncRNA from 1 species